AUAUUUCGCAAUGGAGGGAACGCUGACGCAGCCACCCCGCCUGAGGGAUGAAGGUCUUCGGAGCGUAAAGCUCCGUCCUUGGGGGAUAAGGUCUUCGGUCUUGCCGGUACCUACGGAGGCUGCCCCGGCGACCGACGUCCCAGCAGCCGCGGUAAUACGUAGGGGGCAAGCGUUGUCCGGAAUUAUUGGGCGUAAAGGGUGCGUAGGCGGCCUAUUAAGUCAGAUGUGAAAGCCCACGGCUUAACCGUGGGACUGCAUUUGAAACUGGAGGGCUUGAGUAUCGGAGAGGGUAGUGGAAUUCCCAGUGUAGCGGUGGAAUGCGUAGAUAUUGGGAGGAACACCAGUGGCGAAGGCGACUACCUGGACGAAAACUGACGCUGAGGCACGAAAGCUAGGGGAGCAAAC
rnacentral:rRNA from 1 species